UUUAAAGAGAGUUUGAUCCUGGCUCAGGACGAACGCUGGCGGCGUGCCUAAUACAUGCAAGUCGAACGAACGGAGGAAGAGCUUGCUCUUCCAAAGUUAGUGGCGGACGGGUGAGUAACACGUGGGCAACCUGCCUGUAAGUUGGGGAUAACUCCGGGAAACCGGGGCUAAUACCGAAUGAUAAAGUUUGGCGCAUGCCACGCUUUUGAAAGAUGGUUUCGGCUAUCGCUUACAGAUGGGCCCGCGGUGCAUUAGCUAGUUGGUAGGGUAAUGGCCUACCAAGGCAACGAUGCAUAGCCGACCUGAGAGGGUGAUCGGCCACACUGGG
rnacentral:rRNA from 1 species